rnacentral:rRNA from 1 species
UGCCAGCAGCCGCGGUAAUACAGAGGUCUCAAGCGUUGUUCGGAUUUACUGGGCGUAAAGCGUGCGUAGGCGGCGAGGUAAGUCAGAUGUGAAAGCUCGGGGCUCAACCCCGAAAAUGCAUCCGAUACUGCCUUGCUAGAGUGAUGGAGGGGAGUCUGGAAUUCACGGUGUAGCAGUGAAAUGCGUAGAUAUCGUGAGGAACACUAGUGGCGAAGGCGGCUUUCUGGACCGAUACUGACGCUGAGACGCGAAAGCGUGGGGAGCAAACAGGAUUAGAUA